UACGGAAGAAGCGAACGUUAUCCGGAAUUACUGGGCGUAAAGCGCCCGCAGGCGGCUUGUCAAGUGUGAUGUCAAAGCCCCGGCUUAACUCGGGGAACUGCAUUCCAAACUGACAGGCUAGAGUGCGAUAGAGGGAGGUAGAAUUCCCAGUGUAGCGGUGAAAUGCGUAGAUAUCCUGAAGAACACCGGCGGCGAAGGCGCCCCCCUGGAUCGAUACUGACGCUCGAGGAGCAAAAGCGUGGGAAGAAACGGGAUUAAAUCCCCUGUAAGCCCACGCCGAAACCAAGGACUACUAGCCGUUGCUGUGUCUGACCUCAUAGUGCCGAAGCCAACGCGAUAAGUGUACCGCCUGGGGAGUACGCACGCAAGAGUAAAACUCAAAUGAAUUGACGGGGGCCCGCACAAGCGGUGGAGCAUGUGGUUUAAUUCGAUGCAACGCGAAAAACCUUACCAGGCCUUGACAUCCAGAGAACUUACCUGAGAUGGUUUGGUGCCUUCGGGAACUCUGAGACAGGUGUUGCAUGGCUGUCGUCAGCUCGUGUCGUGAGAUGUUGGGUUAAGUCCCGCAACGAGCGCAACCCUUAUCCUUACUUGCCAUCACGUAAUGGUGGGAACUUUAAGGAGACUGCCGGUGACAAACCGGAGGAAGGAGAGGAUGAUGUCAAGUCAUCAUGGCCCUUACGUCCUGGGCUACACACGUGCUACAAUGCGGAGUACAAAGGGCCGCCAUCCCGCGAGGGGGAGCAAAUCUCAAAAAAUUUCUCGUAGUCCGGAUUGGAGUCUGCAACUCGCCUCCAUGAAGUCGGAAUCGCUAGUAAUCGCGAAUCAGCAUGUCGCGGUGAAUACGUUCCCGGGCCU
rnacentral:rRNA from 1 species